UACGGAGGGUGCAAGCGUUAUCCGGAUUCACUGGGUUUAAAGGGUGCGUAGGCGGGCAGGUAAGUCCGUGGUGAAAUCUCCGAGCUUAACUCGGAAACUGCCAUGGAUACUAUUUGUCUUGAAUGUUGUGGAGGUGAGCGGAAUAUGUCAUGUAGCGGUGAAAUGCUUAGAUAUGACAUAGAACACCAAUUGCGAAGGCAGCUCACUACACAAAUAUUGACGCUGAGGCACGAAAGCGUGGGGAUCAAACAGG
rnacentral:rRNA from 1 species